rnacentral:lncRNA from 1 species
ACGACCAAACAAGACCCCUAACAUCAACCUUAAGCUCUCUACAAGGGUUUCAAAUAAUACCAUCAUUCUGGGCACGAAAUCAAGAAGCAAUAACACUAGAACGAUCCCCACUGCGUAAGUAUUGCUAUAUUGCCUCUCUUUUUCUUUGUAGUUUGAGUUUUGAAAGGUAUUUAAUAGCUAAGAAAAUUCUUAAUUUCUGGUUUUAAUCUCUUAAAUAUCAAGGAAGGUUGAUUAAUUGAUUUCAUAAUAGUUAGAACUCAUGGGACAGUGAUCGGAAGCCGUGAGUUCGAGUUAUUUGACUUGUAAUGGAUGUUCUUAGGCUGUUUCGUGUAGCUUUUGGGCUGUCUAUUUUGUUGUUGUCAAAUGGAGUUUUUUGGAGGAUAAAUGGUGUGGAUAAAUACCACAUAAUGGCAAAAUCAUGGAUUAGUCAUUAUGUUUGACACUACUAUAGUCGUCGUUUUGGAUAUGAAUUGAUUAGGGUGUAUUGGGUUGUUGUAAGCUAAAUAUAAUAUGGGUUUCGACUUGCAUAUACUGUAUGAGGUAAAUAUAUUGUGUUCCUACAUGUUCUUAAGGUUAUCUUGGCAUUGGUUAAGUUAAAUGGAUGAACUAGAUAAUAAAGUUGCUAAUUAAGAAUAAUUGGAGUUGUGGAUCAUUUUCUUUAUUAUAGAUAUAUGGUAUAAGGCUAGAAUUAUUGAUGAAUGACUCCAUUAUCAUGUUAAUGAUACUAUUGAGUUAAAUUAAAAAGUCUAUAAGGGAUGAUAUGGGUAUACGAAUUCCAAUUGGAGCUUGUCGCUCGUCGUAAAAUAGUUAUGACUUGUUGUUGUUUUAUGGUGUCUUGUUAUUGAUAAUUAUGUAUUGCUGGAUUUCUCUAGUAAUUGUUGUUGGUAUAUGAUAUUGGAGGAGGCUCUUGUUACAGGGGAGAUGCUGCCCGAAUUUAUAUAAACGAGCUACAAGUUUAAGUUGCAGACUUAGCCUUUAUUCAACACUGAUUUUGAAUCUCCUUAUGCAAUGGUAGACUGAGUUGAGUUGUUUGGAGAGUAGCUUGGGAGGUAUUAAAGACUCACCAUGGUUAAGGUAUGUUAAGGCACUUCCCUUUUUCUUUCGGCAUGAUCUAAAGUGAAAUAAAUACGCUAUUUUAUAACGGAUUUACUCCUAGAAACUAAGGUUGCUCAUGUUGUUCUUUCCUUAUAAGUUAUUUUAAGCAAGUAUGUAUGAUCCUUGAAUCCUAUAGAAGCUCAUAUUGAUGGUAUGAUGUCCAUAAUGUUAAUCGAAGGUGAAACGACCUUAAGUCACUCCAAAAGGUUUAGAACGUGAUUCCAUGAGUCUAGCAUGCAUUAUAUAUAGUAUCUAUUUUACUCUACCGAGCCGCGCUAUAGUAGGCCGGGUACGACACCUAUGGUGCAAUCACUGAUCAGUUGGAUUUACCGAGCUCCACGUGGCCGGGUACGAUUCUACCGAGCCUUAUGAUGGUCGGGUACGCUUUUACCGAGUCCUCUUUGAGGCCAGGUACGAUAUGAUGAUGAUGAUGAUGAUGCCUACAGAGUCGUAUGUUUUUAAAAGUUUAUCUAUAUAUAUGUAUUAUGCAUUUCAUGUCAGUAACCCCAGAGGCACGCAAAUGUUAUAGGUUGUAUCUCCUCUAUCUCUCUUUAGAUUACUGUUCUUGUUUAUGCUUUCCUGCCUUACAUACUCGGUACUAUAUUUGUACCGACGUCCUUUUUUCCUGGGGACGCUGCGUUUCAUGCCCGCAGGUCCCAAUUGAUAGGUUGACAUUUCUCCUAGUAGGCUAUCAGCUCAGCGGAGGUGUUGGUGCACUCUACUUGUUCCGGAGUUGCCUAUUUUGUCAGUAUACUUUGGAUAUGUAUUGAUUGAUAUGGCAGGACCCUGUCCCAACCUUUAUGAUUUUAUGUACUCUUAGAGGCUUGUAGAUAGAUGUUAGGUUUAUGGAUACUUGUAUGGCCUGUGUGUUGAGUUUACACAUGGUCAUGUCAGCCUUAUAGGCCCGUAUGUCACAUGUAUAAGUUUGUAUAUCAUGUUGGGUCGUCAUAUGUUGAGUAUUCCCUUAUGUUUUAUUCUUGUUGGAUCAUGUUGGGUCGUCAUAUGUUGUUAUCUCAUGACGGGUUUCUAGCUCAUUUACUCAAGAUAGUAUAAUAAGAAAGAUAUGUUAUGUUAGUACUCGGUUGAGUAAGGCACCGAGUGCCCGUCGCGGCCCUUCGAUUUGGAUCGUGACAGUAAAUAUAUUACUAUUUAAUUUAGUGAGAAAAAUUUAGCCCAAUUAACUCACUCAAUCUUACGUCUACCAAAUGUUAAAAAUUAUUAAAAUUUGAAAUCUUUUAUUAAUAAUUAUAUAAAUAUAAAUUAUGGACUAUAUAUUAUAUACUAAUAUAGUAGUGCUUAUUUUUGGGGCCUUAAAUAUUUGGGGCUAAGACAAGGGCUUCACUUGCUUACCCUAGAGCCUCCCUUGACUCCUACUAAAGGCUACAUACAGAGAUGCACCGCUACCAGUAUAUAGGAAUUGUGUCCAAGAUCACAUCCUUACUGUGCAAAUUAGACUGUCAUGUCCUUCCAUUUCGAGUGACAGUACCAAAAAGAAAAUACAUAAAAAGCCAACUUCUAUCAUGCUCAAGUAUAUUAGCAAAAUGGCAUGAGAAGAGACACUUCAUCUUUCAG